rnacentral:ncRNA from 1 species
AUUAUGCUGCCACCGGGUAGUAAAAUGCAAAAAGCAUUCUGUACACAUCGUAAGGUCUUAGAAGAUGUGUAUCGAAUGCUUUUCUUUUU